AUCCAGCUGAUGAGUCUCAAAUAAGGCGAAAUGCUCUUUCUGCAU
rnacentral:hammerhead_ribozyme from 1 species